rnacentral:lncRNA from 1 species
CUCCACCCUAUAGCACACAUGGAAAUAAAGACAUAAAAAACUUAAAUGGAGUUCACUCGAAUUAUAUAGAUCCUUAUUGGUAAGUUCUGAAUAAAAUUCUGGUGGCAAGCUCCUUAAAGUUCCAAUUCCAAGCACAGAGAUGUUCAUGGAAGGUUUUACAUAACACGUGUAGAACCUGUCCAUGGCUGGGUUUUCUUUUGUUCAGUUUUGGGUCUCAGCACCUGGAAGACUACCUGGCAUAUGAAUUCCUGUGAUCCGGUACAUACAGAAAAAUAUCAAGAGAAGUUAAAUUUUAAAAUGAUGGACCUUUUCCAAUUAGAUUACUUCUGAUCAAUACAAUGUCUGAUUUUUAUAAGAUGACAACUAAAAUUCAAAUUCGGAUGUCAAAAAGGUUUAAAUAACCCUCCCUCCGAUCUCUGUCUUCUUCCUACUCUGUACUCUCUCUGGGGAUCUCUUUACAUCCCACAGCCAUUGAAUCUUAAAAGUAAUACAAGAAAUAAUUGAAUGAAAUUUCCAAGGACUUCAGAAUAUAGAUCACUUUUUUUCCCUAACAUCUAGAACAGUAUCUAGCGUAUUGACAAUAUCCAAUAAUAUUUGCUAAAUAAAUAAAGAAAAAUGCACACUGAAGAGUCAACAUCAUAAAUGAAUAAAAACAUAUUCAAAAGUAUAUCAUUCUGAAAUUGUACAAUGCAUACAAAUAUUUGAUGCUAAAAACUUCUACAAAGAUAAAGAAGAUCACAUAUGGGAGUUACAACAUUUAGACUUCUGAAAGAAAAUUAAUUCCAACCUAGACUUCUAUGCUCCAUUUAAAAAAUUAAUCAGAAGACACAGAUUAAGUAAAGCAACUUACAGAUAGGUUAGAUCUAAAAAUAUGUAUUUGUGAUACACCCUUCUGUAGGAAGAUAUACAUCACCAAAAUAAUGGAAUAAAUAAACAAGACAUAGGAUUAAUGAAAAAUGAUUACAACACAGGAGAGGUUGAAAAGAAUUCCUGGAAUAAUGUUGAAGGGAAAUCCUAAGACAUCAGCCAUUCUUCAAGUCUAGAAACCCCAAGGCUAUUGAGAGCAUGAAGACUAAGGAAUGAAUGUCUCCAGGAAACAAAAAAGGAACCAAUGAAUUCAUGACACAUUACCUGGUGAGACUGACCAUAAGCAAACAUAAACAAAACAAUUUCCAUAGGUAUUUUAUUGUUUGGAAUGUAGCAAUUUAUGAAAAAGAAGAGACGAGUAUUAACUCCAGUACAAACAAAGAGUUAUUUGGGUAAGGGUGCAAAUCUUAGUAAAUGACUUGGUUCAGAAGUAAACAAUAUAACACAACUUUUAAAAAGUUGAGGGGUGAAGACUGAAGUGGUAAUUUAAAUACAAAAUUCUGAUACAAUUUUAUUGAGAGGAGGGAGAGAGGAGUGGAGAGAAUUUGGUAUCAUGGUGAAGAAGUGCUAAUUUUAAUGGUGCAUAAAAAUAAGUCAUUGGUAUCAGUGAUACAUAUUAUUUUGUAAUAUGAAGACUGAAGAAAGAGAAAGGAAUAUUUUUCUAUUUUAUUUUGGUAAAAAUUUUUAUUUCUAUUAUCUCCCUCCUUUCAAUAAAAUUGUAUCAAAAUUUGUGUUUAAAUUACAGUUCAGUGUCCCCUCUCCCUCUUUUGUCCCUGGGGGCCAGAGUUUUUAUUAUUAUUUUGAGUUAUUGAAUUUUUAAAAACUAACACAUAUUAGUUUUUGAGAUUUUUUUCUUGUUGUUCUUGGGUUAUUGACAGCAAAGGGGUGGAGGAGGAGAGAGAAGAUAAAAUGAGCAAAUAAAAAAAUGGUAAAGUACACAA